rnacentral:rRNA from 1 species
CACGGGUGAGUAACAUGUGAAUUACAUGCCCUAUAGUGGGGAAUAGCCCGGGGAAACUUGGAUUAAUACCCCAUAGUCUCGCAAGAGUAAGGGUGGCCGCAAGGCUGUCGCUAUAGGAUUGGUUCGCACCCUAUCAGCUUGUUGGUGAGGUAACGGCUCACCAAGGCUACGACGGGUACCUGGUCUGAGAGGACGAUCAGGCACACUGGAACUGAGACACGGUCCAGACACCUACGGGUGGCAGCAGUCGAGAAUAAUUCACAAUGGGGGCAACCCUGAUGGUGCAACGCCGCGUGGAGGAUGACGGUCUUCGGAUUGUAAACUCCUGUCAUCUGGGAGUAAGGCAUGGUCGUGAAUAGCGGACAUGAUUGAUAGUACCAGAAGAGGAAGGGACGGCUAACUUCGUGCCAGCAGCCGCGGUAAUACGAAGGUCCCAAGCGUUAUUCGGAAUCACUGGGCGUAAAGGGAGCGUAGGCGGCGUGGUAAGUCAGAUGUGAAAUCCCGGGGCUCAACCCCGGAACUGCAUCCGAUACUGCCAUGCUAGAGGAUUGGAGAGGUAGCUGGAAUUCUUGGUGUAGCAGUGAAAUGCGUAGAGAUCAAGAGGAACACUCGUGGCGAAAGCGAGCUACUGGACAAUUCCUGACGCUGAGGCUCGAAGGCUAGGGUAGCGAAAGGGAUUAGAUACCCCUGUAGUCCUAGCAGUAAACGGUGCACGCUUGGUGUGAGGGGAAUCGACCCCCCUUGUGCC